rnacentral:rRNA from 1 species
AGACCCGAAACCCGGUGAUCUAGCCAUGGGCAGGUUGAAGGUUGGGUAACACUAACUGGAGGACCGAACCGACUAAUGUUGAAAAAUUAGCGGAUGACCUGUGGCUGGGGGUGAAAGGCCAAUCAAACCGGGAGAUAGCUGGUUCUCCCCGAAAGCUAUUUAGGUAGCGCCUCGUGAAUUCAUCUCCGGGGGUAGAGCACUGUUUCGGCUAGGGGGCCAUCCCGGCUUACCAACCCGAUGCAAACUGCGAAUACCGGAGAAUGUUAUCACGGGAGACACACGGCGGGUGCUAACGUCCGUCGUGAAGAGGGAAACAACCCAGACCGCCAGCUAAGGUCCCAAAGUCAUGGUUAAGUGGGAAACGAUGUGGGAAGGCCCAGACAGCCAGGAUGUUGGCUUAGAAGCAGCCAUCAUUUAAAGAAAGCGUAAUAGCUCACUGGUCGAGUCGGCCUGCGCGGAAGAUGUAACGGGGCUAAACCAUGCACCGAAGCUGCGGCAGCGACACUGUGUGUUGUUGGGUAGGGGAGCGUUCUGUAAGCCUGUGAAGGUGUGUCGUGAGGCAUGCUGGAGGUAUCAGAAGUGCGAAUGCUGACAUAAGUAACGAUAAAGCGGGUGAAAAGCCCGCUCGCCGGAAGAC